UGCUCAUUGACGUUAUCCCGCAGGAAGAAAGCAGCGGGCUAACUCCGUGCCAGCAGCCGCGGUAAUACCGGAGGGGUGCAAGCGUUUAAUCGGAAUUUACUGGGCGUAAAAGCGCACGCAGGCGGUUUGUUAAGUCAGAUGUGAAAUCCCCCGGGCUCAACCUGGGAACUGCAUCUGAUACUGGCAAGCUUGAGUCUCGUAGAGGGGGGGUAGAAUUCCCAGGUGUAGCGGUGAAAUGUGUAGAGAUCUGGAGGAAUACCGGUGGCGAAGGCGGCCCCCUGGACGAAGACUGACGCUCAGGUGCGAAAGCGUGGGGAGCAAACAGGAUUAGAUACCCUGGUAGUCCACGCCGUAAACGAUGUCGACUUGGAGGUUGUGCCCUUGAGGCGUGGCUUCCGGAGCUAACGCGUUAAGUCGACCGCCUGGGGAGUACGGCCGCAAGGUUAAAACUCAAAUGAAUUGACGGGGGCCCGCACAAGCGGUGGAGCAUGUGGUUUAAUUCGAUGCAACGCGAAGAACCUUACCUGGUCUUGACAUCCACGGAAGUUUUCAGAGAUGAGAAUGUGCCUUCGGGAACCGUGAGACAGGUGCUGCAUGGCUGUCGUCAGCUCGUGUUGUGAAAUGUUGGGUUAAGUCCCGCAACGAGCGCAACCCUUAUCCUUUGUUGCCAGCGGUCCGGCCGGGAACUCAAAGGAGACUGCCAGUGAUAAACUGGAGGAAGGUGGGGAUGACGUCAAGUCAUCAUGGCCCUUACGACCAGGGCUACACACGUGCUACAAUGGCGCAUACAAAGAGAAGCGACCUCGCGAGAGCAAGCGGACCUCAUAAAGUGCGUCGUAGUCCGGAUUGGAGUCUGCAACUCGACUCCAUGAAGUCGGAAUCGCUAGUAAUCGUGGAUCAGAAUGCCACGGUGAAUACGUUCCCGGCCCUUGUACACACCGCCCGUCACACCAUGGGAGUGGGUUGCAAAAGAAGUAGGUAGCUUAACCCUACGGAGGG
rnacentral:rRNA from 1 species